rfam:Mortierella elongata AG-77 unplaced genomic scaffold K457scaffold_41, whole genome shotgun sequence.
GUCGAUAUGGCCGAGCGGUUAAGGCGUGUGACUAGAAAUCACAUGGGUUCUCCCGCGCAGGUUCAAAUCCUGCUGUCGACG